CCUCUGGAUUGUUGUCUGCUCCAUCCUGCCUGUAGGGAAGUUACCCACAGUAAACUUCAUAAUUGCACUUUAUGGAGUUGCUGGCUUCAUUUUUCAGUCUCCGAGUUCCUUCUCGGUGUGGAGGAUAUUGUUCGAUAACUCUGUCUUCCAGUACAUUGUUCUCUUAUAGUUUAGAAGGAUGAUUCUGGCUGUGGUGUUGAGAAGAGACUCCAGCGAGGAUGGAAGUUGAGACAAACGUGGCAGCAAGAAGACCCUCUAAGGAGCUACGGCAAUAGUAAGGAUUGGCAGUGGCUUGGGAGAGCCACCGUAUCGUCUCUGUGUCAAUGGAGAAGGUGAACAAUUAGUCAGACUCUGGAUCUGUCUUGAGGAUGGAGCCAGAAAAAUUUCCUGACAGAUGAUGCAAGGAAGACUCCAAAAUUGGCCUGAGCAAUGGCAAAACUUCUUCUGUCCUUAAGGAACUGAUUUUACUUUUCUUUUCUUGUUCUCCUUGCUGAAUUCCUUCUCCCAGGAAGAAAAGGACCGAGGUCCUCUCGCCACCAAACUGAAGCUGAAACCUCAGACACUCAGUUCAUCAUUUGAAUGGUAUCAAGAAUAUGAGAUGGUGUGAGGAUGAUGGGAGAAAGGGCAUCUGUUGCUUGUUUUGGUUCCUCCUGAAUCCACAGUCAGUACUCAGUAGAGUAGCCAUGAUUUUAAUUAUUUUAAGAGGAAGAUUCACAAGGAUGUGCCCACAAAACACUGCCAAUUUGCAGCUGAAAAUGAUAACUGGAUUGAUAUUCCUCUUUGAGAUGCAAGCAGAUGCCUCCACCAACUAUCUCGAACCGGAAUGCCGCAGCCUCCCCUUCGUCCGCAUUUAUCCUUGGCAGGAGCACCGUCUAUUUUGGGAAGGACGAAUCCCUGAGGACACCUGCAAAGGACUGGAAGCUCUUAGCAACUCCUUGACCUGAGAGUGAGGAACCGAGUGGCGGGGAGCCCCAGGACCUGCCCAUCAUCACGUCUCUGCAGUGGCCUUGCCACAACCUGCCCGGCGGGUUCUCCUGGAUUGGGGGAAGGUCUGGACCCGUGUCCCUCGGGGGUUCUCCUAGGUCUCUUAUGGAGGAGGUGGCAGGGCAGGGAAUUGCUCAGUGACUUUCGACUCCAUUUCCAAGGCACAUGCAUUGUUAAGUGCUAAGACUUCUGUAAGAUAGUUGGAGUGGAAAAUGGAACCCUUAAUCCUAGACCCUAAAGUUCAACUCUUUCAUGAUCGCUACAAUGGGUGCUAAAGAGAAGAGAACAGAGGAAACAGUCUGGGCAAAUGUAUCCUGUUUGUUGUUAUGGGGCUUUGGUCUCAAAUCUCUGUGGUUGAGCUGAGCUAGUUUGGAGCAUGUGUCAGCUGUGAGCAUGCCCUUUGCCUGUCUAAAUUCAGGUGGAAGACGAAAAGCCUAAUGAUAAGUUCAAGGUCAAAUAAGUCUAAAUAUGAAUAAGAAGCAAUAAAGCAUAGUCCUAAAGUCAGAUGUGAAAGCGAGAGAAUGUGAUGCUUAUGGAUGAGAAAAGUGAGACAGGCCUUAUGGAAUCUCCAGCUUUCAUGCUGGACUUUGUUUGGUAUAGAACCUUCUCAGCAUGGUGCUAGGAUGCUCCCUUCUCAGGAAAUAGCUCAGACGGGAGAAACCUUGAGCUUCUCCCAGUAGCUGAAAGGUGCCUCAAACAUUCAUUACAGCUUCUUAGACAGAGUUCGCUGAGGAAAGUUGUGUUCCCUGGGGCUGAAAAUUCUAGUAGACUGUAGGUGCUUUCAAACUUUGUGGUUUUUAUUUAUUUUUAUUUUAAAAAUUUUUUUGAAAGAUACUUCUUUUAGGCAUAGAAACUUAUACAGAACUCUAAUAUGUAACUGGUUAAAAUGUAUUCUAUUUGUAUAAAUUUAUUUUAGGAACUCAAAUGCAGUGAAGCUUUGCUACAUGCACUCUUUACUGGAUAACAGUGAGGAGAGUGGGCGGGGAGAUAUCCACUCAGUGAAAAGGAGAUUGCAAACCAAAUUUCCAAAAGAAAUAAAGAGAUCAAAAAUUCAGUAAUAUGGUUCUGAAAAACCAAACUGAACAUGAGUUUACGCCAUGAAGUAGCCUUUAUUCUUUAACAUGGAGUGCUCAACAAGAUAAAUGGGAGAAGGAUUUUCAUUAAAAAGAACAGGAAAUUAUGAAACAAAGGCUGGUAAAAAUGAAAAAAAGUUU
rnacentral:lncRNA from 1 species